AUGCUCACAAGGUUGAACCUUAGUUAUAACAAUCUACAGGGUAACAUUCCUAGGGAGAUCUUCCACACUGGCUCCACACUGACCAUAUGUGCAUUAUCCUACAAUAACUUACAAGGAACAAUACCUACAGAGUUCAGUAAUCUUAGGCAGCUAGUUGAGCUGUAUCUUUCAUCCAACAAACUUUCUGGGGAAAUUCCUAGUGCUUUAGGUGAGUGUCAAGAGCUGCAGAUCCUCCAAAUGGACCAGAAUAUUCUCACAGGGGAUAUUCCGGAGUCUUUGAGCAAUCUGAAGAGCUUGGUGGUGCUCAACUUUUCACAUAACAGUCUGUCUGGAUCCAUUCCGACAUCAAUAAGUGACCUGAAAUAUCUGAACCAGCUAGACCUCUCUUACAACCAUAUUCAUGGAGAAGUACCAAGAAAUGGGGUAUUUGAAAAUGUCAUGGCUGUUUCUCUCGAUGGGAAUUCGGGACUUUGUGGUGGAGCAGUGGAUCUUCGUAUGCCCACUUGCUCUGCUAUUUCUCAGAGAAAAGGAAGACUGUACUACUUGGUCAGAGUAUGUAUCCCUUUGGUUGGCUUCACAUCACUCGUAUUAUUCGCUUACUUUGUACUCCUGGAGAGCAAGACGCCAAGAAGAACAUACUUACUGUUGCUUUCUUUUGGCAAGCAUUUUCCUAGAGUUACCUACAGGGAUCUAGCUCAAGCUACACAGAGCUUUUCUGAGUCAAACCUGGUUGGGAGAGGAAGCUACGGUUCAGUAUAUAGAGGAAAGUUAACUCAAGCAAAAAUACAAGUGGCUAUUAAAGUUUUUGACCUCGAUGUGAGAUACGCAGACAAAAGUUUCAUUUCAGAAUGCGAGGUUUUGAGAAGUAUUCGACAUCGAAAUCUUGUUUCUAUCUUAACAGCAUGCUCAACAAUAGAUAAUGAUGGUAACACUUUCAAAGCUCUAAUUUAUGAGUUCAUGCCAAACGGGAAUUUGGACACAUGGUUACACACAAAAUCUGCUGGCGAAGGUCCAAGGAUUUUGAGCUUAGGGCAAAGAAUAAGCAUCGCUGUUAAUAUCGCUGAUGCAUUGGCCUACCUGCACCAUGAUAUCACAAGAUCCAUUGUCCAUUGCGAUUUGAAACCCAGCAAUAUCCUCCUGGACACUGAUAUGAAUGCAUAUUUGGGUGACUUUGGCAUUGCAAACCUCGUCCGUAAUUCAAAGUCAACAUCAGUUGGGCAUUCAAGUUCAGCCUCAACUUCAGAUGGCUCAAUUGGAUUGAAGGGAACUAUAGGAUAUAUUGCUCCAGAGUAUGCUCAAACUGGCCAAGCAUCAACUUAUGGGGACAUUUACAGUUUUGGAGUUGUUCUUCUAGAGAUGCUGAUAGAUAAGAGACCAACAGACCCUAUUUUUGACAAUGAACUCAACAUUGUCAAUUUCGCAGAGAGGAACUCUCCAGAUCAGAUACUGCAUAUCAUUGAUGAUCAUCUCCAAGAAGAGUGCAAGGGAUUCAUUCGUGCAACAGCGGAAGCAGGAAACGUGGUAUAUCAGUGCUUGGUGUCCCUUGUGCAAGUAGCUCUGUCUUGUACCCGUCUGUUCCCAAGAGAACGAAUGAACAUGAGAGAAGUAGCCAUGAAAUUGCAGGCAGCCAGAACAUCAUAUAUAUGUUGGAGCAAACAAACCAGAGCAAGCUAUGCCACACUAGAGUGA
rnacentral:rRNA from 1 species